ACCAGGCUGUUCCAAAACUACCCACCCAGCGGAACGCAGAAACCCAACACUUCAUCUCUCUGCACUGCGCUGGGCCCUGACGAGGAGUCGCUGAGCCUCCCCAGGCAUGGGCCCCGCUCCAGGCCCAGGGCCACCCCGCUAUAAAUAGCCCCUCGGGUUUCAUCUGUUACGGAUCCACAGCCACGUUUGGAGGAGGCCACCACAGCUGCUUCAAACAACUGGAAGCCACAACUGGAGCCAAGGCUUGAGGGCUUCGAACUUCCUCCCAGCCCCUACCAGGACAUAGAUCAAUAAUAGGACUUUUGAUCCAAUUCCCUGUGCACCAAGCAGAACUCUCCCCUAUUGUUGUCACCAAAAUAGUCUGUCCUUUGUUGAAAGGACACCACUAACGGAAAUUCCACAGCGUCACCAAAACAGGGUCCUACUGCUCUUACUACCGCCUGGAUUUUUCCAAAACAAAGUGCGACACAGCACACCAUCCACGAACUCCACUGCACACCAGCAGUCAGAGGAAAACAGCCAUUCCUGCCCUGAAUCCUGGGCCACGGGCCAGAGACAGGAAAACAGCUCAAAAAAACAGGCUUAUUGUCCCAGCGGCAGGCCUAGGACUUCAGCCAUGUCACCUUGAAAGCGGGUCCCUUCACCUGCGGCAGACUGCAGGGAGCCCACCGCUGGGCAGGGGACUGACUCAAUCACCCUGAGGUCAUCCAACCCACAACAGAUGUCUGGGACCUUAAACUUGGGUUUCCUCUCCUCCUUUGCAGUACGCAGGCCAUUCUGGAGCCUGCUUUGCCUUUCAUGCACUCCUUAAACUAGACUAACAACCAAAACACCGCUGGUCUCUCCUCCCACAUCCAGACAGGACACCACCCUUACCCACCCCUGACACACACAUUCAUCCCAGAUCAACACAACUUUCUCCUAAAUAAAACCUCCAGUCCCAAUGAAACAGCCACCUCUGUCUUCCCCAGGACUAAAGUCAUACACACCCACGUGUCAAAAAGUUCUUCCUGAUGUCUAACUUCCC